rnacentral:lncRNA from 1 species
AUUUGAUAUUUGUGAAAGCUUUUAAAUAUGAAAAAUUGUCUGUUAAUGAGCUCUUAGUUUCCUGGGAUAGUUUGAUAACUGAUAAAAAAAAAAAAGAUGAAUGAAUUUGGAUUUUGAUUUUUUGAAAUAUUUCUUUGCUGAUUCAGCAACAGAGGAGGGAAAGUGAUGUUAAUGUAAUUUGAUGCAUCACAACCUAUGUGCACCAAACUAUUUUUUUAAUCUGUAAAUAAUAGAAAUAGAUAAAAAAAAAACACAAAAAAAACCAACAUAAAUGCAUACCAUUGUAAUACAUAUUUAUGACAGAUGUUACUGGAUCGAUUACACAUAGUACAUUAGACAUAUAUAAGGUGCAUAAUCAGCAUUUAUUCCACUCCAACAAUCCUAGGUUUAUUUUCUUUCUCUCUGUGUGAUAAAUAUUAACUGUAUUAUGAAGAUCUACUGUUUAUUAUCAUUCUCCCCUCUGACAAGUACAUGCUCAUACUGAGUUUGUUUAAAUGAUCAUUUUGAAUAAGUACUUUUGAUAUUAUAACCUGAUGGGGAGCACUUUUCUACAGAAUAUUAGAAAUUAUUUUAGCCAGGAAUUUUCAGCUCCCUUAGCAGUUAAUGUUGACAUUAGAAUAUUUUCUGUCUAGCACCUUCUUGGUUUUGAUGAUCUUAAAAAUCUUUUUUAAAUAUAUUUUGCUUUCCAAGUAUUUACUCUUGAUGGUUGACCUGUUGAGGGUAAUUUUCAGAAACAUGUCCAGCAC